AGCUUUUAACAGCAGACUGAGUUCAAAUCUCUUUGUACAGGCAGCAUUGAAAUGAGUGAGAGAGCAUUGGAAUGGGACUCCCAAACCCGAGAGGAUCAGCUGAACUUGGUAAAGUCAUUCUCCUCUGUGGGCCUUUGUUUCAACAUUUGCAAUAAGAUUUGUGUAGGACACAUAAACCCACUGCCUUCAAUUUUCUGAAACUG